rnacentral:rRNA from 1 species
GAUGAACGCUGGCGGCGUGCCUAAUACAUGCAAGUCGAGCGAAUGGAUUAAGAGCUUGCUCUUAUGAAGUUAGCGGCGGACGGGUGAGUAACACGUGGGUAACCUGCCCAUAAGACUGGGAUAACUCCGGGAAACCGGGGCUAAUACCGGAUAACAUUUUGAACCGCAUGGUUCGAAAUUGAAAGGCGGCUUCGGCUGUCACUUAUGGAUGGACCCGCGUCGCAUUAGCUAGUUGGUGAGGUAACGGCUCACCAAGGCAACGAUGCGUAGCCGACCUGAGAGGGUGAUCGGCCACACUGGGACUGAAACGCGGCCCAGACUCCUACGGGAGGCAGCAGUAGGGAAUCUUCCGCAAUGGACGAAGGUCUGACGGAGCAACGCCGCGUGAGUGAUGAAGGCUUUCGGGUCGUAAAACUCUGUUGUUAGGGAAGAACAAGUGCUAGUUGAAUAAGCUGGCACCUUGACGGUACCUAACCAGAAAGCCACGGCUAACUACGUGCCAGCCGCCGCCGUAA